rnacentral:misc_RNA from 1 species
GAUGAAGAACGUAGCGAAAUGCGAUAAGUAAUGUGAAUUGCAGAAUUCAGUGAAUCAUCGAAUCUUUGAACGCACAUUGCGCCCGCCAGUAUUCUGGCGGGCAUGCCUGUCUGAGCGUCAUUUCAACCCUCAUGCCCCUAGGGCGUGGUGUUGGGGAUCGGCCAAAGCCCGCGAGGGACGGCCGGCCCCUAAAUCUAGUGGCGGACCCGUCGUGGCCUCCUCUGCGAAGUAGUGAUAUUCCGCAUCGGAGAGCGAUGAGCCCCUGCCGUUAAACCCCCAACUUUCCAAGGUUGACCUCAGAUCAGGUAGGAAUACCCGCUGAACUUAAGCAUAUCAAUAAGCGGAGGAA